GAAGCCUAACUUCUAAUCCUUUCUCACAGCAUGUAUGGGAUAUAGCUGGUAAUAAUGAAAAUACUUUUAUUUGGUUGUUGUGUGACAACUGAGUAUACACAUAAAAGUUUCAAGUAGGAAAUCUCUUGCUUCUUUUGUAACAAAUAUGAGGAGGAAGAACUAUGAAGAACUGUUGUGGUCCUUCAGGUUGACAGGUAAAUUCAAAUAGGAUACCUCUUGAUACAAGAUCACAUCUGGCAGCAUUGGUGAUCCCAUUCCUUGGCUUCU